rnacentral:rRNA from 1 species
AAGAGAGUAAUAGCCUCGUAUUUAAAAUAGUCUUUGUACUUAGCAGUAUCCUGAGUACGGCGGGACACGUGAAAUCCCGUCGGAAUCUGGGAGGACCAUCUCCCAACCCUAAAUACUCCCUAGUGACCGAUAGUGAACCAGUACCGUGAGGGAAAGGUGAAAAGCACCCCGGGAGGGGAGUGAAAUAGAACCUGAAACCGUGUGCCUACAACAAGUUCGAGCCCGUUAAUGGGUGAGAGCGUGCCUUUUGUAGAAUGAACCGGCGAGUUACGUUAUGAUGCGAGGUUAAGUUGAAGAGACGGAGCCGUAGGGAAACCGAGUCUGAAUAGGGCGCCUUAGUAUCAUGACGUAGACCCGAAACCAUGUGACCUACCCAUGAGCAGGUUGAAGGUGCGGUAAGACGCACUGGAGGACCGAACCAGGGCACGUUGAAAAGUGCUUGGAUGACUUGUGGGUAGCGGAGAAAUUCCAAACGAACUUGGAUAUAGCUGGUUCUCUCCGAAAUAGCUUUAGGGCUAGCGUCGACAUUAGAGAUUCUUGGAGGUAGAGCACUGUUUGGGUGAGGGGUCCAUCCCGGAUUACCAAUCUCAGAUAAACUCCGAAUGCCAAUGAAUUAUGGUCGGCAGUCAGACUGCGAGUGCUAAGAUCCGUAGUCGAAAGGGAAACAGCCCAGACCACCAGCUAAGGUCCCAAAAUAAUUGUUAAGUGGAAAAGGAUGUGGGGUUGCACAGACAACUAGGAUGUUAGCUUAGAAGCAGCUAUUCAUUCAAAGAGUGCGUAAUAGCUCACUAGUCGAGUGACCCUGCGCCGAAAAUGUACCGGGGCUAAAACAAUUUACCGAAGCUGUGGAUACCUUUAUAGGUAUGGUAGGGGGGCGGUCUAUGUGUGAUGAAGGUAUACCGUGAGGAGUGCUGGAACGCAUAGAAGUGAGAAUGCCGGUAUGAGUAGCGAAAGACAGGUGAGAAUCCUGUCCACCGUAAGACUAAGGUUUCCAGGGGAAGGCUCGUCCGCCCUGGGUUAGUCGGGACCUAGGGAGAGACCGAAAGGUGUAUCCGAUGGACAACAGGUUGAUAUUCCUGUACUAGAGUAUGUAGUGAUGGAGGGACGCAGUAGGCUAACUAAAGCAGACGAUUGGAAGAGUCUGUCUAAGCAGUGAGGUGUGAAUUGAGUCAAAUGCUUAAUUCUAUAACAUUGAGCUGUGAUGGGGAGCGAAGUUUAGUAGCGAAGUUAGUGACGUCACACUGCCAAGAAAAGCUUCUAGCGUUUAAACAUACUCUACCCGUACCGCAAACCGACACAGGUAGUCGAGGCGAGUAGCCUCAGGUGAGCGAGAGAACUCUCGUUAAGGAACUCGGCAAAAUGACCCCGUAACUUCGGGAGAAGGGGUGCUGACUUUAAGUCAGCCGCAGUGAAUAGGCCCAAGCAACUGUUUAUCAAAAACACAGCUCUCUGCUAAAUCGUAAGAUGAUGUAUAGGGGGUGACGCCUGCCCGGUGCUGGAAGGUUAAGAGGAGUGCUUAGCGUAAGCGAAGGUAUGAAUUGAAGCCCCAGUAAACGGCGGCCGUAACUAUAACGGACAUAAGGUAGCGAAAUUCCUUGUCGGGUAAGUUCCGACCCGCACGAAAGGCGUAAUGAUUUGGGCACUGUCUCAACGAGAGACUCGGUGAAAUUUUAGUACCUGUGAAGAUGCAGGUUACCCGCGACAGGACGGAAAGACCCCAUGGAGCUUUACUGCAGUUUGAUAUUGAGUGUCUGUACCACAUGUACAGGAUAGGUAGGAGUCUAAGAGAUCUGGACGCCAGUUUCGAAGGAGACGCUGUUGGGAUACUACCCUUGUGUUAUGGCCACUCUAACCCAGAUAGGUGAUCCCUAUCGGAGACAGUGUCUGACGGGCAGUUUGACUGGGGCGGUCGCCUCCUAAAAGGUAACGGAGGCGCCCAAAGGUUCCCUCAGAAUGGUUGGAAAUCAUUCGCAGAGUGUAAAGGUAUAAGGGAGCUUGACUGCGAGAGCUACAACUCGAGCAGGGACGAAAGUCGGGCUUAGUGAUCCGGUGGUUCCGUAUGGAAGGGCCAUCGCUCAACGGAUAAAAGCUACCCUGGGGAUAACAGGCUUAUCUCCCCCAAGAGUUCACAUCGACGGGGAGGUUUGGCACCUCGAUGUCGGCUCCUCGCAUCCUGGGGCUGUAGUCGGUCCCAAGGGUUGGGCUGUUCGCCCAUUAAAGCGGCACGCGAGCUGGGUUCAGAACGUCGUGAGACAGUUCGGUCCCUAUCCGUCGCGGGCGUAGGAAAUUUGAGAGGAUCUGCUCCUAGUACGAGAGGACCAGAGUGGACUUACCGCUGGUGUACCAGUUGUCUUGCCAAAGGCAUCGCUGGGUAGCUAUGUAGGGAAGGGAUAAACGCUGAAAGCAUCUAAGUGUGAAACCCACCUCAAGAUGAGAUUUCCCAUGAUUAUAUAUCAGUAAGAGCCCUGAGAGAUGAUCAGGUAGAUAGGUUAGAAGUGGAAGUGUGGCGACACAUGUAGCGGACUAAUACUAAUAGCUCGAGGACUUAUCCAA